GACGAACGCUGGCGGCGUGCUUAACACAUGCAAGUCGAACGGAAAGGCCCUGCUUUUGUGGGGUGCUCGAGUGGCGAACGGGUGAGUAACACGUGAGUAACCUGCCCUUGACUUUGGGAUAACUUCAGGAAACUGGGGCUAAUACCGGAUAGGAGCUCCUGCUGCAUGGUGGGGGUUGGAAAGUUUCGGCGGUUGGGGAUGGACUCGCGGCUUAUCAGCUUGUUGGUGGGGUAGUGGCUUACCAAGGCUUUGACGGGUAGCCGGCCUGAGAGGGUGACCGGCCACAUUGGGACUGAGAUACGGCCCAGACUGCUACGGGAGGCAGCAGUGGGGAAUAUUGCACAGUGGGCGGAAGCCUGAGGCAGCAACGCCGCGUGCGGGAUGACGGCCUUCGGGUUGUAAACCGCUGUCGCCUGUGACGAAGCGUGAGUGACGGUAAUGGGUAAAGAAGCACCGGCUAACUACGUG
rnacentral:rRNA from 1 species